rnacentral:tRNA from 1 species
GGAGAUGUAGCUCAAUGGUAGAGCAUUUGUCUAGCAUGCAGGAGGCCCUGGGUUCCACCCCAGUACCACAA